UACGUAGGUGGCAAGCGUUGUCCGGAUUUACUGGGCGUAAAGGGCGUGCAGGCGGUUUGUUAAGUGCAGGGUGAAAGCUCCCGGCUCAACUGGGAGAGGUCCUUGCAUACUGGCAAACUCGAGGGAGGCAGAGGAAAGUGGAAUUCCCGGUGUAGUGGUGAAAUGCGCAGAUAUCAGGAAGAACACCCGUGGCGAAGGCGCCACUCUGGGCCACUACUGACGCUGAGAAGCGAAAGCGUGGGGAGCGAACAGG
rnacentral:rRNA from 1 species